rnacentral:rRNA from 1 species
UAGGGUGAACCUGCGGAAGGAUCAUUAC